UUCACACUUUACUGUAAUUGGAAGGGGUCAAGGUUUUCAGUUGCUAAAGAGUAGUUGGGCAGUAUUUUAGACAGGAAGGGAGUUUGCAUCAUGUGCUGUUGCCAGACUGCAUUACACAGAGCUGUAGCCAUUACUGCCAGGUACACACUGGUAUCACCUCCAGAAGCAGGAGCCCUGCCUUCCUUCAGCCCCUCCCCAGCACACGUCACCCUCUCCCUGUGCCCACAGGAUGAACUCUGCAGAUCCAUUCUGAAACAGUUCUGGGAACUUAGCCAAGUCAAUACUAUGCCAGAUGCCAUCAUCCACUGCAAGAGUCAUUAUUCACCAAUUCUAUCCAGCAUUUUUGAUCACUGGAUGCAAAUGUGGUAAAAGAAAACUAGUCUACCUCCUUUGUGUCACUUUCUCAGAAUCCUAAUUAGGAAGUGUUAUUCUACUGUCACUGGAAACCAGUAUUAACCAUGCACUAUUUCCUCAUACAAAACACAAACAGAAGAUGAAUCAUUUCUUUUCCUUCUCUCAAGCUCAAUUUAUUCUCCUAUUCUUCAUGCCUCUUACUAAGUCAUUUGAAAAAAAUUGCUUAUACUUCCAAAAAAAAAGUGCAGUUCCUCCAGUCUAUAUAUAUGCAUCUGCAAAGUACUCACAAUAGGUAAGCAAUGUAGUGGAAGCUUUUGUUUUAUAUAUGUUUUAUAUAUAUUUAUAUUUAUAUUUAUUUAUAUUUAUAUAAAAUCUUGUUAUUAUAAUUCCAAAUUUGGAAAAAACCUCCCCACAAACAAACAAAGAAGAAAUGUCCUGGCCUCCCCAAACAACACAAAACAGAAAAUAGCCCCACCCCAUUACCUUCUAUGCAAAAUGCCUGGUAAAACUUCCACUUCCUCUGACAAAAUGAGCCCAUCUAAGUGUCUUUAUGUAAAUUGGGCUGCAUGGUUGAGAGCUGCAAGGGUUGAAUUCCCCAUUUUCACAGAAGUGUCGACCCAGUGCACCAAAAGGACUGAACUUUCUCAUGUUUGUCAAUGGACCACAAAGUAGCUUGACUGAAGAGGUGAUGGAAGGAUUCUGGGGAGUGGUCUGAGUCUGUUUUAUCUAUCAUAUGCCUAAGACAUUUAUUUUCUCACACCACUUCAAAACUCAAUCUGAAUCAAUGAAACCUGUACCAUUUCCUAACCCUCUUCACUUGUGCAGUAUGUGUAGGAGGUAUUCAGCUGUGUAAGAAAAUCUCAUUCUCUGGUCUACUCUUCUACUGUUUCCCAGACAAGACUGUGACAUCCACUUUCUAAAGCUGCACUGUCUCUCUGGAGUGGGCUCACAUCAACUGUGAUAAAAAUGUCUAGCAUUAAAUUAUUCUUAAAUUUUUCA